CCUGUGAAGUCAGUUGCUGAGUGCAGAAGCAAAGGCACUGGGAGACAACUAUGCAGGAGCUAGCUGUGACCUGUAGUUCCACAAACUGAAGCAAAGGCUCCCACAGACAGACAGGAGUUAUCAGUUGCCAAUGAAGAUUGAAGGUUUCAUCAUCAGCAUAGGAGCUCAUAGAGAUAAGCAACAUAGCAGAAUUGAAGAAUUUUCCAGAAAUCUAAUUUUGCAGCAGAACAGCCAUUUAAAGAGGGCUUUCCAGAUAAUAAAGACCGAGUACUCAGUGUACGCUAUAACAGGGCUUUCCAGAUAAUAAAGACCGAGUACUCAGUAUACGCUAUAACAGGUA